UCACCAAACAUCAGAAAAGUCUCCGGUAACGCCAGGAAAAGUAGCUAGAUUUGUCGCUAGUCGCUUUUGAGAAAAUAAGUCCUCAAGAGGGUUUGGAAAGUCAUCAGAUUUAGCGAAAAAGUCACUAAGUUGGCAAAACUGAAUGUAAACACAUGCAACAUGAACUCACCCGUGAACAAGCCCUGUACCGAACCGAAUGUCCCGUACCGAAACGGUUCAAUACAAAUACAUGUACCGUUACACCCUUAUAAGUGACAAAAGUGUG